AAAGAUAUCUGGUUGAUCCUGCCUGAACUGAUGUGUUCAUUUCAAAGAUUAAGCCAUGCAUGUAUAAGUUUAAUCGUUUUAACGAGAAACCGCGAACGGCUCAUUACAAUGGCCAUGAUUUACUUGAUCUUGAUUAUCUAAAUGGAUAACUGUGGAAAAGCUAGAGCUAAUACAUGCACCAAAGCUUUGUCCUCACGGAAAAGCGCAUUUAUUAGAACAAAACCACGCGGCUUCGGCUGCUUCUUGUUGACUCAGAAUAACUAAGCUGACCGCAUGGCCUUGUGCCGGCGGCGUGUCUUUCAAGCGUCCACUUUAUCAACUUGACGGUAGCAUAAUCGACUCCCGUGAUGUGACGGAUAACGGAGGAUCAGGGUUCGACUCCGGAGAAGGGGCCUGAGAAAUGGCCACUACGUCUAAGGAUGGCAGCAGGCGCGCAAAUUACCCACUCUCGGCUCGAGGAGGUAGUGACGAGAAAUAACGAGACUGUUCUCUUUGAGGCCGGUCAUCGGAAUGGGUACAAUUUAAACCCUUUAACGAGUAUCAAGCAGAGGGCAAGUCUGGUGCCAGCAGCCGCGGUAAUUCCAGCUCUGCUAAUACAUAGAAUUAUUGCUGCGGUUAAAAAGCUCGUAGUUGGAUUCGUAUCGGUACCUUGGAACCCUUCGGGUGUUUCUGGGUGUUAUCGAUUUAUCGUAAUGUUCGGUUUUGAGUCCUUAACAGGAUUCUUAACAGUCAUUGCAAGUUUACUUUGAACAAAUCAGAGUGCUUCAAACAGGCGUUUUCGCUUGAAUGAUCGUGCAUGGAAUAAUAGAAAACGAUUUCGGUUCAGUUUUAUUGGUUUUACGGACUGAGAUAAUGGUUAACAGAGACAAACGGGGGCAUUUGUAUGGCCCCGUGAGAGGUGAAAUUCUUGGACCGUGGCCAGACAAACUACAGCGAAAGCAUUUGCCAAGAAUGUCUUCAUUAAUCAAGAACGAAAGUCAGAGGUUCGAAGGCGAUCAGAUACCGCCCUAGUUCUGACCGUAAACGAUGCCAACUAGCGAUCCGCUGAUGGAAAUUAUAUUGCCUUGGUGGGGAGCUUCCCGGAAACGAAAGUCUUCCGGUUCCGGGGGAAGUAUGGUUGCAAAGCUGAAACUUAAAGGAAUUGACGGAAGGGCACCACCAGGAGUGGAGCCUGCGGCUUAAUUUGACUCAACACGGGGAAACUCACCCGGCCCGGACACUGUGAGGAUUGACAGAUUGAUAGCUUUUUCAUGAUUCAGUGGAUGGUGGUGCAUGGCCGUUCUUAGUUCGUGGAGUGAUUUGUCUGGUUUAUUCCGAUAACGAGCGAGACUCUAACCUACUAAAUAGUUGGUACAUACUCUUUGUGUAUACAGCUUCUUAGAGGGAUUUGCGGCGUUCAGCCGAAAGAAAUUGAGCAAUAACAGGUCUGUGAUGCCCUUAGAUGUCCGGGGCUGCACGCGCGCUACACUGGCAAAAUCAACGUGCUUGUCCUACCCUGAAAGGGGCGGGUAAACCAUUGAAAAUUUGCCGUGAUUGGGAUCGGAAAUUGCAAUUAUUUUCCGUGAACGAGGAAUUCCAAGUAAGUGCGAGUCAUCAGCUCGCGUUGAUUACGUCCCUGCCCUUUGUACACACCGCCCGUCGCUGCCCGGGACUGAGCCAUUUCGAGAAAUUUGGGGACCGUUGAUUUAAUUUAUCUAAAUUAUUUUGAUGGAAACCAAUUUAAUCGCAGUGGCUUGAACCGGGCAAAAGUCGUAACAAGGUAGCUGUAGGUGAACCUGCUGCUGGAUCAUUACUUUA